rnacentral:rRNA from 1 species
CGGAGGGUGCAAGCGUUGUUCGGAAUUACUGGGCGUAAAGCGCGGGCAGGUGGUCUUUUAAGUCCUUUGUGAAAUCCCGGGGCUCAACUCCGGAUGUGCAUAGGAUACUGGAAGACUGGAGACUGGUAGAGGCGAGCGGAAUUCCUGGUGUAGCGGUGGAAUGCGUAGAUAUCAGGAAGAACACCGGUGGCGAAGGCGGCUCGCUGGGCCAGUUCUGACACUCAUCCGCGAAAGCGUGGGGAGCAAACAGGAUUAGAUACCCUGGUAGUCCACGCCGUAAACGAUGGGCACUAGAUGCCGGGCCUAUAGACGGGUUCGGUGUCGCAGCUAACGCAUUAAGUGCCCCGCCUGGGGAGUACGGCCGCAAGGCUG